AUUGUUUUUCAGCUUUUUGGCUCAGAUCAAGUGUAGUAUCUGUUCUUAUCAGUUUAACAUCUGGUAUGUCCUCCAGCUGAAGACAUUUUGUUAAGUGGAUUUUUGGGGACAUGAAAUAGGACCUUGCUCUGUCCACGCCACGCAUCAAUCUGCUGUCUCAGUACUUCCAGGAGCAGUGAACCAGAA
rnacentral:snRNA from 1 species